rnacentral:rRNA from 1 species
AGAAUCAACGCUGGCGGCGUGCCUCAGACAUGCAAGUCGUACGAUUAAAGCUCUCUUCGGAGAGUGCAUAAAGUGGCGUACGGUGAGUAACACGUAAGUAAUCUACCUUUGAGUGGGAAUAACAGUCGGAAACGACUGCUAAUACCGCAUAAUGCAGCGGCUCGACAUCGAGACAGUUGUUAAAGAAUUUAUUCGCUUAAAGAGGAGCUUGCGGCAGAUUAGCUAGUUGGUAAGGUAAUGGCUUACCAAGGCAACGAUCUGUA